AAGGUACAAAUCGUUCGUUCUGCCCCUGAACAAGGCAGUUAACCCACUGUUCCUAAGCCAUCAUUGAAAAUAAGAAUGUGUUCUUAACUGACUUGCCGAGUAAAAUAAAAAUAAAUAAAUAAAAAUUGUGUCGACGACCGGCUCCCUCCUAGUCAGGUUGUGUCGACGACCGGCUCCCUCCUAGUCAGGUUGUGUCGACGACCGGCUCCCUCCUAGUCAGGUUGUGUCGACGACCGGCUCCCUCCUAGUCAGGUUGUGUCGAUGACCGGCUCCUUCCUAGUCAGAUUAUAUUGACGACUGCCUCCCUCUAGUCACUAGUGUGUCUUAUUUAUUUAAUCAAACAGCGUUUAAAGCAUCAUAUGUUCAGUACAUAUAGAUUUUAUAAAAACAAGUGGGGCGAUUGAUAGAAAUUACAGAUGACUCUUGGUUGACCGUGGAUCAAAUCCAGGCUGUAUCAUAACCGGCCGUGAUUGGGAGUCCCAUAGGGCGGCGCACAAUUGGCCCAGCGUCGUCCAGGGAACGCAGUCAUUGUAAAUAAGAUUUUGUUCUUAACUGAUUUGCCUAGUUAAAUAAAGGUUACAUUUAAAUAAUUUUUAAAAAG
ensembl:lncRNA